rnacentral:rRNA from 1 species
UGGGGAAUAUUGGACAAUGGGCGAAAGCCUGAUCCAGCCAUGCCGCAUGAGUGAAGAAGGCCUUUGGGUUGUAAAGCUCUUUUAGUGAGGGAGAUAAUGACGGUACUCACAGAAGAAGUCCUGGCUAACUCCGUGCCAGCAGCCGCGGUAAUACGGAGAGGGCUAGCGUUAUUCGGAAUUAUUGGGCGUAAAGGGCGCGUAGGCUGGUUAAUAAGUUAAAAGUGAAAUCCCGAGGCUUAACCUUGGAAUUGCUUUUAAAACUAUUAAUCUAGAGAUUGAAAGAGGAUAGAGGAAUUCCUGAUGUAGAGGUAAAAUUCGUAAAUAUUAGGAGGAACACCAGUGGCGAAGGCGUCUAUCUGGUUCAAAUCUGACGCUGAGGCGCGAAGGCGUGGGGAGCAAACAGG